rnacentral:lncRNA from 1 species
AAUUUGUGGUAUAAUCAUUCAGUGUCUGGCAACUAUCAAUCGCUUCAUGCACAAAUUGAUAUAGGUUGAGCAUGAGUGCCCCUCUGUUGGAAAUAAAAACAUACCUCCACCUAAUUUUAGUCAACUGAUGAAGAAACAUUCAAAACUAUAAAAUGUUAAGACUUGUCAGUGUCUAUAUAUAGCUAUUCACCAUCGCCACUGAAUCAGUGAUAUAUGUACACAUAUACAUGUAAGACUAAAAUUAAAGUACAUAUAUAAGACUAAAACUGACAUUCGGUCUUUACCUUCAUUCCCCAAGUCGUGUUCAAAUCUGAUUCAUGAUAAAAUAAAAUUCCAAAAUUACAAC